rnacentral:rRNA from 1 species
UGCAAGUCGAACGGUAACAGGAAGCAGCUUGCUGCUUCGCUGACGAGUGGCGGACGGGUGAGUAAUGUCUGGGAAACUGCCUGAUGGAGGGGGAUAACUACUGGAAACGGUAGCUAAUACCGCAUAACGUCGCAAGACCAAAGAGGGGGACCUUCGGGCCUCUUGCCAUCGGAUGUGCCCAGAUGGGAUUAGCUAGUAGGUGGGGUAACGGCUCACCUAGGCGACGAUCCCUAGCUGGUCUGAGAGGAUGACCAGCCACACUGGAACUGAGACACGGUCCAGACUCCUACGGGAGGCAGCAGUGGGGAAUAUUGCACAAUGGGCGCAAGCCUGAUGCAGCCAUGCCGCGUGUAUGAAGAAGGCCUUCGGGUUGUAAAGUACUUUCAGCGGGGAGGAAGGGAGUAAAGUUAAUACCUUUGCUCAUUGACGUUACCCGCAGAAGAAGCACCGGCUAACUCCGUGCCAGCAGCCGCGGUAAUACGGAGGGUGCAAGCGUUAAUCGGAAUUACUGGGCGUAAAGCGCACGCAGGCGGUUUGUUAAGUCAGAUGUGAAAUCCCCGGGCUCAACCUGGGAACUGCAUCUGAUACUGGCAAGCUUGAGUCUCGUAGAGGGGGGUAGAAUUCCAGGUGUAGCGGUGAAAUGCGUAGAGAUCUGGAGGAAUACCGGUGGCGAAGGCGGCCCCCUGGACGAAAGACUGACGCUCAGGUGCGAAAGCGUGGGGAGCAAACUGGGAUUAAAAUACCCUGGGUAGUCCCACG